GAUGAAGAACGCAGCAAAAUGCGAUAAGUAAUGUGAAUUGCAGAAUUCAGUGAAUCAUCGAAUCUUUGAACGCACAUUGCGCCCGCUGGUAUUCCGGCGGGCAUGCCUGUUCGAGCGUCAUUUCAACCCUCAAGCCCCCGGGUUUGGUGUUGGGGAUCGGCUCUGCCCUUCUGGGCGGUGCCGCCCCCGAAAUACAUUGGCGGUCUCGCUGCAGCCUCCAUUGCGUAGUAGCUAACACCUCGCAACUGGAACGCGGCGCGGCCAUGCCGUAAAACCCCAACUUCUGAAUGUUGACCUCGGAUCAGGUAGGAAUACCCGCUGAACUUAAGCAUAUCAAUAAGCGCAGGA
rnacentral:misc_RNA from 1 species